CGGGAUUUUUUAUUCUGAAAGGAGCGACGUGCUCAAGGGUUCUUAAAUUGAAGGCCAUCAACUCGUAUUUAGAGUUGUUACAGUAAAGGGACUGAAUUCUCAGACCCUUUAUAAUGAACUCUCGGAAGAAGGCCAGUUAUAGCCAGAAAACAUGGUCUUUGGCAUUCAGCAAGCAACCUCCCCGUAUCUUAAUAGUGGAUGUGACUCUACCAUUCUGGCGGCAUAUUUGUUCUAAUGUGUGUGAGGCUCUGGCCAAUUUUUUCUCUCUGGCUUGCAGUUUGGCUGGUCCAUGCAGAAUUCCUCUCCUUAGCAUGUACAUGGUGCAUAAUCAGCAUGAAUGCCUUCUUCCCUUUCUGCAAGUGAAGGGAAACUUUUCUAGGCUGCAUUCUUGCAUUACUGAGCUGAGGUUGAUGCCCAAGGAAGGUUGUAUACGACAGA